rnacentral:rRNA from 1 species
UGAGGAAUAUUGGUCAAUGGGCGGGGAGGCCUGAACCAAGCCAAGCCGCGUGAGGGAGGAAGGCCCUACGGGUCGUAAACCUCUUUUGCCGGGGAACAAAAGCGGGUAUGUAUA